GCCACAGGCAGAGAUCCAAUAACAACAGCAGAGACACCAAGUAUCAAGUGAGCGCAGGAGGCAGCAGGGGAGAGGAACACCAUGAGGAGAGCCACUUGUUGAGGUACUGAUGCCUAUAAGGAGCAGCUCAAACAGGGACAGAGAUGGUGACUCAGAGAAUGAAGCACAGAUGAAAAUGGGGAGUGGGGUUCCUGAAGGUUCAGAGGACAAGAUGGUCAGUCCCCACAGUAAACUGGCCAUCUGGAAAAUCAAGGAAGAUCUACUCAGACUUAAGAUCUGAUGAGGCCAUGGCGAUCACACAACUGGCCCACCCAACUGGCCAGGGCACGGGCAGGUCCCUGCCUGACAGUGGAGACACGGGCGUCCAGAAAGUGUCAGUCUUUCCCUCAACCUUGAGCGCUCAGCAGUUUGCGCCUCUGCUGGCAGAAGGAAAUACACUCCAAUGUUUUCCAAAGGCUAAUGAGCAAGAGUGUUUAAAUAGACUCCACUUAGAUAUAACUUCCUUGAGCUAUUUUAGGGUUACAUUAUGCGGAAAUCCAGAUCAUUUCCAGCUGCCUCUGCACCUGUCCCCAGAUCACUUACCAGCAUAGGAGAAACUGUCUAAUAGGUCUGUCUGGCCUUUGUGCUCACCAGGAAACUGCUCAUUUUCUCCUAUGUAUUCUGCAGUAUCUUCUGGGCCAACUUAAAGUUCACUGGAAAAAUCCUUUCUAUGUCUAUCUAUUACCAUGAUACAGCUCUGAGUGGGCAUCUCUGUAAGGUUAGUGGCUCAGAAGAAGCUUGGUUAAAACAGGUUUAAUCCAGAAAAGAAGGCCAUGAAUUCUGGACCCAGUGGUCAAGGGUGUGGCUCUACCACUUAUCUAAAGUCAACCUGGCAGAGAACAGCAGUGGCAACUCCAACAAAGGGAACAUGGGGCCAGCACUUGGAACAAACUGGAACAAAAUAUGCUCAGGAAAUGUUUCAGAAUACAAAAGAGUUAUGUUAUAUGAGCUCCGGGAGAUGCUUCUGAACUCUGGCUCAGUGACGAGAUCCUUGCAAAAGAAAUAAACUUGAUGAAUCUUGUACACAAAUCAGAAACGGAAAUGAAAGUAAAAUAGAAGCUUAUCAACAACCACAACCACAACACAACCACAACAUCAGGGGAUGGGAUUGCUCCAAAAGGUGACGGACACAGGAAUAGGUCUGAAGAUGAACCAUGUCCAGGAAGGGAAGUCUCACAAGGCAACCCCCUGCCCGGCUCACCGGAUCCCAAAUAAGGGUGACUGAGGUUUUUCAAAAGGGAUGCUAUUAAUCCAAAUCCAGAGGGGGAAGGAAAUGAGAAGGAAAUGAAUAUUUGCUGACCGUACAUUACGCGAGGAGCAGAAAACACUGUGCUGGCAGCUUCUUGUAUAUCAUCUCAUUUUGUCCUCAUAACCAUUCUAAUGAGGUGAGUGACAGUCUCAUUUUACAGCUAAUAAAACAGAUGUUCUUAAAAAUUAGGUAACAUGACUAAGGUCACAAUGCCAAUAAGUGUAAAGGCAGGUAUCUGACCUGGGACUGUUAAUAAAAUGUGGACAUCAUC